GACGAACGCUGGCGGCGUGCUUAACACAUGCAAGUCGAGCGGUAAGGCCCUUUCGAGGGUACACGAGCGGCGAACGGGUGAGUAACACGUGGGUGACCUGCCCUCAGCUCUGGGAUAAGCCUGGGAAACCGGGUCUAAUACCGGAUAUGACUCCAUGACGCAUGUUGUGGGGUGGAAAGCCUUGUGCGGCUGAGGAUGGGCCCGCGGCCUAUCAGCUUGUUGGUGGGGUGANGGCCUACCAAGGCGACGACGGGUAGCCGGCCUGAGAGGGCGACCGGCCACACUGGGACUGAGACACGGCCCAGACUCCUACGGGAGGCAGCAGUGGGGAAUCUUGCGCAAUGGGCGAAAGCCUGACGCAGCGACGCCGCGUGAGGGAUGACGGCC
rnacentral:rRNA from 1 species